GCGAGGGGUGCUCAAUAAGAGGAAGAGGGGGAGGGCGGCGGAGCUGAGGAGGAUAUUUACGAGGUUGGGGCCUACGUUUGUGAAGAUAGGGCAGGGGUUGUCGACUAGGCCGGAUAUUUGUCCGCCGGAGUUCCUCGAGGAGCUCGCCGAGCUGCAGGAUGCAUUGCCCACCUUUCCAGAUGCCGAGGCUUUUUCAUGCAUUGAGAGGGAGCUGGGGUUACCACUUGAUUCAAUUUACUCAUCCAUAUCACCUUCUCCAAUUGCAGCGGCCAGUUUAGGCCAAGUUUACAAAGCUCAACUCAGGUAUUCUGGACAGAGUGUUGCUGUCAAGGUGCAGAGACCUGCCAUUGAAGAAGCUAUAGGCCUUGAUUUUUAUCUGAUUAGGGGUCUGGGUUUUCUUAUUAAUAAAUAUGUCGACUUUGUUACAACUGAUGUCGUUGCGCUUGUUGAUGAGUUUGCACGAAGGGUUUACCAAGAGCUCAAUUAUGUACAGGAAGGUCAGAAUGCACGGAGAUUUAAGAAGUUAUAUGCAGACAAACAAGAUGUACUAGUGCCUGACAUAUUCUGGAAUUACACUAGUGCAAAAGUAUUGACAAUGGACUGGGUGGAAGGUGUCAAACUGAAUGAGCA
rnacentral:misc_RNA from 1 species